rnacentral:rRNA from 1 species
UACGAAGGGGGCUAGCGUUGCUCGGAAUCACUGGGCGUAAAGGGUGCGUAGGCGGGUCUUUACGUCAGGGGUGAAAUCCUGGAGCUCAACUCCAGAACUGCCUUUGAUACUGAAGAUCUUGAGUGCGGGAGAGGUGAGUGGAACUGCGAGUGUAGAGGUGAAAUUCGUAGAUAUUCGCAAGAACACCAGUGGCGAAGGCGGCUCACUGGCCCGAUACUGACGCUGAGGCACGAAAGCGUGGGGAGCAAACAGG